GCUCAGUUGGUAGAGCAUGGUGUUUGCAAUGCCAGCAUGGUGUGUGCAAUGCCAGGGUUGUGGGUUCGAUUCCCAC
rnacentral:tRNA from 1 species